ensembl:lncRNA
CCCGACCCGGGAGUCUCGACCCUGGGGCAGAGUCGGUCCCCUGGCGCGCCGCGGACGACUUUCCUCCCGAAACAGCUCCAUGCCUUUUAAAGGCAAUUCUUGGAGUUCAUUUCUUCAUUCCACAGAUGUUCAUUGAGUGUCUCCUGUGCGCUGAGUACUGUUCUGGGCUUUGAGGUCAUUGCAUAACAGUGCAGAGAGGACCCAGGACUCUUGUGGCUGGCUCAGUCACAGAUGCUUUCCACCCUUGUAGUGCUCCAGGAUUGACAGUCCUUUCAGUGUCGCAUGGAGUAGACAGUUCCUCAAAGAAUUAUAAAGAGGGUUGGAGACUUGGAACACAGCAAAUGCAGAAGGAGCUGAGACCAGAAAACAAGCCUCGGAGACGAUGAACUUCCCAAUGGCACUGCAGGUUAUGCCUACUUGAGGGCGCUGGUGUCCACUUCCCUUGUCUGCCAAGAUGCCCAGAGCUAAGUUUAGCACAAAAGCAAUCACUACUCCUCACUUCAAUUUCAGUUAUUAUUUGUCUUUCUAGACAUGCCUUUCUAUUAUUUGCCUUCUAGAAUGUCUAAGAAUUCUAUUAUAUGUAUUUUCCUUUUAAAAAAUACACUUCAGAUCUCUUUUUGGAAAUAGGUGGUUGCAAAUAUAAUAAAUAACUCACACCCUUCAA